AUCUGGCUCAGGCUGGACACCUCCUUAUGAGUUUGAUCACGUAGCGGGGGACGGGUGAGUAAUGCUUAGGAAUCUGCCUAUUAGUGGGGGACAACAUCUCGAAAGGGAUGCUAAUACCGCAUACGUCCUACGGGAGAAAGCAGGGGACCUUCGGGCCUUGCGCUAAUAGAUGAGCCUAAGUCGGAUUAGCUAGUUGGUGGGGUAAAGGCCUACCAAGGCGACGAUCUGUAGCGGGUCUGAGAGGAUGAUCCGCCACACUGGGACUGAGACACGGCCCAGACUCCUACGGGAGGCAGCAGUGGGGAAUAUUGGACAAUGGGGGGAACCCUGAUCCAGCCAUGCCGCGUGUGUGAAGAAGGCCUUUUGGUUGUAAAGCACUUUAAGCGAGGAGGAGGCUACCGAGAUUAAUACUCUUGGAUAGUGGACGUUACUCGCAGAAUAAGCACCGGCUAACUCUGUGCCAGCAGCCGCGGUAAUACAGAGGGUGCAAGCGUUAAUCGGAUUUACUGGGCGUAAAGCGCGCGUAGGUGGCCAAUUAAGUCAAAUGUGAAAUCCCCGAGCUUAACUUGGGAAUUGCAUUCGAUACUGGUUGGCUAGAGUAUGGGAGAGGAUGGUAGAAUUCCAGGUGUAGCGGUGAAAUGCGUAGAGAUCUGGAGGAAUACCGAUGGCGAAGGCAGCCAUCUGGCCUAAUACUGACACUGAGGUGCGAAAGCAUGGGGAGCAAACAGGAUUAGAUACCCUGGUAGUCCAUGCCGUAAACGAUGUCUACUAGCCGUUGGGGCCUUUGAGGCUUUAGUGGCGCAGCUAACGCGAUAAGUAGACCGCCUGGGGAGUACGGUCGCAAGACUAAAACUCAAAUGAAUUGACGGGGGCCCGCACAAGCGGUGGAGCAUGUGGUUUAUUCAUGCAACGCGAAGACCUUACCUGGUCUGACAUAUAAACUUUCCAAAUGGAUGGUGCCUUCGGGAACUUACAUACAGUGCUGCAUGGCUGUCCAGCU
rnacentral:rRNA from 1 species